rnacentral:lncRNA from 1 species
AACAGCCCAUUCACUAGCAGAUGCUCAGCAUAAACCAGGCUAAGGUUAACAUUCCUUGUUGUCACACUACUCUGCAUCUAGGCUCUCUCAGAAUUAGAAUGAUGACUUUCCGAUGCCUGAUGCUGCUUUCAUGUUACUGGCAACCAUGAAAUUCCUUCUGUUCUACACUGAUGUUCCUUAGAACUGAUUGUCAUGAAUAGGCCUUUGUGAGCUCACUACAUCACUUCUUGGUGGAAGGAAUCCAGCUUCCUCAACUGAGACUCAAACUCUUAAGCAUAGCAUUUGGAUGACAGUCACCAUCAAUUCAUGUGAAUUGUUACUGUUUCUUUCACUUUGGUUGUGGAACUCCUACUAAGUAUGAAAAGGAUACACCAAAUUUUGUGACAAGCAUUGCUAAAGAUCCUCUGAAUCUAAAGUUCCGGUCUCAGUGUUUAAGCAAAGUCCAUGGACUGCAUCCCUUGACAGAAGGAAAAAAAAGAUCUAGAUCGAAGGAAACAUUCAUUACCUACAAGGCUAAGGAACUCAAGUGGGAUUCCAAGCUGUUGCUACCAAAGGAGCCUUGGCCUACCAAAUCUGGCUCCUUUACGAGGCACAGAAGCCAACGAGGUGCACACAGCGCCUUUAUAGAACGUGUGGAAGAAACAUUGAGUAAACUAUGGCUGGAAGAGGCAAACGAGAAGAAGGCAGGAAGAAGCAGGAAAAAAGCAGCAGAUGGUCUACAGCGGGAAAGAUCGAGUGCAGCUGUUUCCACUGAGAAAUACCCUGACAUGGAGCUGUGGGCCAAGAGAGAAGAAGGCCUCCAAAAAGGAUGGCUAUCUCAGUCACCAUCAGCAGGACCACCUAUCCGGGGAAUGCCACCAGCACAGGUAUCUCUUUCUCUACAUAUCAAACCAGAACCCUUGGGGUUUUUGCUGCCUACUGGCAUCUCUCAGAGUGUUGAAGAGCUGAGAUGCAAGUAAAGAAGGAAAAUGACAUUUUAUAUAAAUCUUUCUGUGGUAUUAUGGUUGCUACUGUUCUUCAGCAUCUGUUGCAUUCGGAAAUCUGUAGGACCAUGUAUCUUUAUGCCACUGGCUCACUGGCUGUAAUAGUUGUAAAAGAAAAUUAUAUACAAAUGUAACUACCAUGUUAAAUUAUUUUAUUUUUGUAACAUGCAUUACCCACUGGCACUCAGUCAUUUACUUAAAAUAAUACAAUAAAUGUUAUAAAACCAUGUCA